CGCUCAGAAUAGAUCAGGAGCGAACUGCGGAAGUACGGUGAAAGCUACAGAAUAGUCUCGGCUAACAGUUGCGUCGGCACGCCGCGCUCUUUGCGUUUGACGCUUUUUUAACUCAGUAGAUAGAUUAUUUAUACCGUAAGAUGCAUGCAACUGACGAUAGGAAGUGACAGACGAUUAUCUUGCUGGACGGCUACCAUAGUGAGCGAAGUCGGAGUUUGGACGAUGUGUGCCAUGCAGUGUGCGCUAUCUCCGUGGCAGGGGCGAGCGGAAUGCGGCGUGGUGCUGCAGUGCGUUUUGGAGCGGAUGAGCGCUGAGGGCCUCGAUGGUGACGAGGGGGUGGCAGGGGAGGCGGGGCGAGCGGUGCUGAGGUUCGGGGCGGUAUGCCGCGAUUGGCGCCGCGCCGCGCUCGACUCUGCGCUGUGGCGCCGCCUGGUGGCACCGCGCGUAACACCCGUCGCUCUGCGAACGCUAGCGGAUGCGCGCGCUCUAUCCCUCGACCACGUGGAGUGGAGCUGGAAGGUGGAAGGCCUGCUGUGUCUGGCGGAAUGGCGGCAGAGGGGGCGGCUGGGGAGCGCGGAGAGUGCGCCACUGGUGCAUGCUGCACUGGACCCACCUGGUUACCACCUGGCUGUGCUUUCUGAAGAUGGCCAACUCCGUAUCUGGGAGCAUGUAAGUAAGCAGGCUGACGAGGAUUGGGUGGAGCGUUGUAACUUACGAGUAAGUGGAGAGUGGCGGGGUGGGGGCCGAGUGUGUUGGGGACCGCAGAGCGCGGGGCGCAGGGGCCGUACACUUCUGGUGAGCGGUUCACUGCUGCUAGCCGAACGGUGCGAGGUGCAGCUGUUGCACAUCACAGAUCAGUAUGACAUUCGGGUGUUGUGUCGCGGCACCUGCUCUCUUGGCACGGAGCCCUGCUGGUGGGACCACUCUGCCUUCCUUACUCUGCGCGUGCAGUUGCUGGCACCCGGACUGGCCUGCACUACCGUUUGGCUGAACUCAGUUACCCAGGAGAGUCACUCGGAGCACGCUGGUGUGAUGAUGCCGCUACUAAGAAUAUUCAAUGAGGCGGGAGCCAAUAUCUCACAUAUGUUGAUUGCAGAUACUCCAAUAUCCUCCAGAACGUUUCUAGAUGAGCGCAGUAAAGCAGAUUUGGAAGAUGUCAACACGCCUAAUGCUAACUAUUACUGGACUAUACUAACAGCACAGAUUGACAAGGUAAGCGAGCGUGUGCUGGUAGUGGCGGGAGGCAGUCGGGGCGGCGCUCGCGGUGAGGCUCGCGCGCUGCUCGCGUGGCUCGUGCCGCCCGAGCUGGCGCUGCCGCCGGUGCACGUGGCCGAGCCGCUCGCCGAGCGAGUGGCGCGCCGAGCCCGCGAGCGCGUGGACGCCGUCGAGCUGAGCGAGCCGCCGCCAGAGCACGCGGUGCGAGCGCUGUGCGAGUCGCCCGCACACACACUCGUGCUUGGUGCGCCCGUUACUGGACUGCGACUGCAUUCAAACGGUCGAUGCGUGUGGGCGGCGUCGCGAGCCGGCGUUGACUGUGCGGCGCUGCCGAGCCUCACACGGCUGCUGCACUUGCCACCUCCCCCCAUGCCUGCCCCCACGACAUCCACCCCCCUCUACCGUGUGCAGCUCGACGUUGGUGCGGAUUACAUUGUCUGUCCCGCGGGUGACGGCUCGGGUACAGUCUUCGUGUGGACGCUGCUCGGUGGACGCUGCCCAGCGUCGCGCCCCCUCUCGCACCACUCGCUCGUGCUCGGCGCGCUGCUCACCUCCCGCCGCUCGCUGCUCACACUCACAGCUGACGCCGUACAUGUCUGGAAGACUAUGACACCGGUCGACCUUCACCUAAGUAAAGAUUAAACUUAAAUAUAUUAUGUACUUACACAAAUAACUGAUAAGAAUAUUGUAUAAAAAUAUUUAUUUCUACAUGUUGAACAUAACUCUACACACACCGAUAAAAAGAAAGUACGUUGCUCCAAAAUAUAACGAUUUAAUAUUUUU